GUUCCCCAGGCAGGUGUGCGACCGCCUGGGGGUGCCUUUGGACGCCCUCCGCCAGCCCGGGAGCAGUCAGCACCAGCACCCCUGCUCACCGAGAUGCUGUUCACCGUUUCUGCACGGGCAGCUCCUCUCUUCCACUCCCGGUCCCUCUUGGCCCCCAAAUACUCUAGUGAGAAAGGCCUUGCAGAGCCAUGGGCCUGCCCCUGCCGGGCUGUCUUCUCGGGGGGCACUGGGGAUGCCCCGGAAACACCGGGUGCUUCUCCCCAUCACCGGCCACCGUGUUGCUGGGCAACCGGCCGCUCCUUAUCAGCUCCUGGCCGAGCUCCAGCCAAAUCCCGCGCCGGCCCCACCUAGUUUUCAGUUUGUGGUGGUUUUUUUAAAUUUCAUUUUAGGAAGUGAAAUGAACAACGCUCGUUCUGGAAGCGGCAGAUAAGGCUCCGAGCCGCCGGGCCCACGUCUGCUGGCAACAAAUCUCUCUUAACUCGUGGGCACCUUUCCAGGGAGGCUGGGGUGGGGGGCGCCCUGGCCCUUCGCCUGGGGCCUCCUCUGGCUGUGCCAGGAGGGACGCCCCCAGCCCCGCCAGGCCCAGAGAGGCCCACAGAGCCACCUCUGCCAGGAGCCCAGGACAGCUGCUCCACCAUCGCCGUGGGGUGCACAGCCGGGUCAGCAGGGCCCUGGGGCGGAGCCGUGAGGGCCCCGGGAGGAGUUUCUCCCCCAACAGGCAGGCGAGAACCCAGCUCCACUGCUGUCGGAUCUUGGGUGAGGCCCCACUCUCUCUGAGCCUCAGUUUCUUCACGUGUAGAAUUGUGUCACGGAGGGUGGUCAAGGGCCUGCCUGGAGCGGCGGCCCAGGAAGAGGGUCUGCCCCUGUCAACCGCUCUGGCCGGGAGCAUCUCUGGGUCAGAAGCCACUUUGCCCCAGGAAACGAGGUGCAUGCAGUGCACAGGCAGGCCACACACACACCCUGGCACGUGCACACCCACGGCCAACACAGGUGCAAGUCUGCACGUCACUUGAAGGCUCCCGGGACCUGGAAUCCCAGUGUGCAGCAUGGACACCGAGGCCCGGGGAGGCCGGGGACCCUUGGCAUGCUGGAGUUGCUGCCCUCUGCUCUGGUCCUCUCUGAGCCUGGGAGGCGGGGGGGUCCCUGGCCCGGGGGCUCUGUGUGAGGAGCCCCAGGAACCCCUUGACGCCUUCCCCCAGCCGGGCCACAGGACCAAGGCCAUGUGAUUGAUAGAUGGGGAAACUGAGGCAGGCUGGGCCUCUGGCAAGAGGUGGAGGGAGCCGCAGCCAGGGAGCGAGUCC
rnacentral:lncRNA from 1 species